UGGGGUGUUCAGAAUCUGACUCUGGAUCAGGAGGUUUGAGGUUCGAGUCCUCACUCCCCAGCCA
rnacentral:tRNA from 1 species